UACGGAGGGUGCAAGCGUUAAUCGGAAUUACUGGGCGUAAAGCGUGCGCAGGCGGUUUGUUAAGUCCGUUGUGAAAGCCCCGAGCUCAACUUGGGAAUUGCAGUGGAUACUGGCAGGCUGGAGUACGGUAGAGGAAGGUGGAAUUCCCGGUGUAGCAGUGAAAUGCGUAGAGAUCGGGAGGAACACCAGCGGCGAAGGCGGCCUUCUGGACCAGUACUGACGCUCAUGCACGAAAGCGUGGGGAGCAAACAGG
rnacentral:rRNA from 1 species